UUAACUGAAAUUUGUAUGGAGUUGGGACGUUUGCCUACGUUUGCCGCUAGGGGCGCUGUUUCGACUGCUUACAAAUUUGAGUUA
rnacentral:pre_miRNA from 1 species